rnacentral:rRNA from 1 species
UACGAAGGGGGCUAGCGUUGUUCGGAUUUACUGGGCGUAAAGCGCACGUAGGCGGUUUGUUAGGUCAGGGGUGAAAUCCCAGAGCUCAACUCUGGAACUGCCUUUGAUACUGGCAAGCUAGAGUCCGGAAGAGGUAAGUGGAACUCCUAGUGUAGAGGUGGAAUUCGUAGAUAUUAGGAAGAACACCAGUGGCGAAGGCGGCUUACUGGUCCGGAACUGACGCUGAGGUGCGAAAGCGUGGGGAGCAAACAGG